UACGAAGGGGGGCUAGCGUUGCUCGGAAUUACUGGGCGUAAAGGGCGCGUAGGCGGCACUGUUAGUCAGGCGUGAAAGUCCUGGGCUCAACCUGGGAACUGCGCUUGAUACGGCAGAGCUAGAGGAUGGAAGAGGCUCGCGGAAUUCCCAGUGUAGAGGUGAAAUUCGUAGAUAUUAGGAAGAACACCGGUGGCGAAGGCGGCCCACUGGAUCGGUACUGACGCUGAGGUGCGAAAGCGUGGGGAGCAAACAGG
rnacentral:rRNA from 1 species